rnacentral:rRNA from 1 species
UACGUAGGCAGCGAGCGUUGUUCGGAGUUACUGGGCGUAAAGGGCGCGUAGGCGGCGUGACAAGUCACUUGUGAAAUCUCCGGGCUUAACUCGGAACGGUCAAGUGAUACUGUCGUGCUAGAGUACAGAAGGGGCAACUGGAAUUCUCGGUGUAGCGGUGAAAUGCGUAGAUGUCGAGAGGAACACCUGCGGCGAAGGCGGGUUGCUGGGCUGAUACUGACGCUGAGGCGCGAAAGCCAGGGGAGCGAACGGG